GACGAACGCUGGCGGCGUGCUUAACACAUGCAAGUCGAACGAAGUGGCGAACGGGUGAGUAACGCGUAAUCAACCUGCCCUUCAGAGGGGGACAACAGUUUGAAACUACUGCUAAUACCGCAUACUGACGGUGGGGCUUGGGUGUGAUUACCUAUUUGGGGGGGGAACGGCCCACCAAGGCGAUGAUCAGUAGCCGGUCUGGGAGGAGGAACGGCCCAAUGGGGACGGAGACCCGGCCCAGACUCCUACGGGAGGCAGCAGUGGGGAAUCUUCCGCAAUGGACGAAAGUCUGACGGAGCAACGCCGCGUGAGGGAUGACGGCCUUCGGGUUGUAAAGCUCUGUUAAUCGGGACGCGGUACCGGAAUAGAAAGCCACGGCUAACUACGUGCCAGCAGCCGCGGUAAUAC
rnacentral:rRNA from 1 species